UUCUCGCUCUUUAGGAUGUGCAAUUCAUUAAGAACAAGCUUUUAUUGGGUCUAGAUUCGCUUUGAAAAAAGAACUGGGAAUAAGCCGCCAAUUCCAGGCUCAUCCAGCCCCCUGGUCCGGACUUGACAACUGCCGCCACCACAAGGCUGAAAGAGCAAGCGAGAGGGCUUGAAGACAGCAGAGCAUGAAACCCCCGAGAACCUGCCGACCAGCCGAGAUUCUCUGUCUGGUCGUGUGCUGUGCGGCCGGCUGUCUACUCAACCUGGCCGGGUUCACGCGUGGAAAUGAACCCAGGAACAUUACAGCAUCUGUGAACAGCAAUGUAUCCAUGUCCUGUGCUGCUGCAUGGAAAGAUGUACAGCUCUCCGAAGUUACUGUUAACUGCCAGACUGACUCGCACGAAGUUGUGCACAGCUUUCGUGAUGAUGAAGACGACCUGACGAAUCAAGCAGAGAGGUUUCGCGGGCGAACUGAAGUCAUUCACAAGGACAUUCGCAAUGGCAAAGCAUCUUUGCUGCUGAAAAAUAUAGUCCCAAAUGAUAUGGGAACCUAUCAUAUUUACUUUUUUCACCACAGGGGUUAUGAGCACUGCAUCUUCCACCUUCAAGUGCCAGGGAAGGGCGCUGCAGUCCCAGUGCUGGGAGCUGUGCACUGUCUCGCUGCCGUCCUGCUGCUGUACAUGGUGUUGUGAGCACGUGAAGAUAAUCUAUCUUCCUGCAGAGCCCAGAUGCAAAUGCUGACUUGUGAGCCCGAGCACUGAGGAACCCAAAGUGCCUCUCGCUUCAUCUUUCCCAGCACCUCUACGGUACGUGACCUGCCUGCUGCCGCGACUGCCGGGGCCCAGUGGAGCGGACGGUGGGACGUCUGCCAAGAGCUGCUGCUUAAGGAAGUCUCCCCAGGACCUGGCAAGGCAGAAGUCCCACCGGAGAGGAGGCCUUAAAGUGAUUCCUGGUGGAGGGAGGGGUUGUGGGGUAGAAAUGCUAGUAGGGGGUGUGUGUGUGUGUUUGUUUUAUGUGUGUGUGUCACAGGGCACUAAGGUGCGUGCUUCUUUAAGGGCAUGAACUGCCUAGGAGAGAGCCCAGCAGUCAGUCAAGAGCCUCUCGGCUGCAAGUUAUAGCCCAGGGGCUCGUAUUUUGAUUUCUGUUUGUAAACCGGAGGAUUGGGCUGGGGCUCAUUGGGGGCCCACUACAGUGUGGGGACCCCAGCGCCAGUGUAGGCGCAGUGACAAAGCGGGUGAGCGGACCCCAGCACCAGGGGGCACAGAGACAGAGAGACAGAGACAGGGCUGCGGAUAGCCCAGUGAUGACCAGAGGCCAGGUUAAACUAAGGCCUUGGAGAGACACUGUGUGAAUGCCAUCUGCGAGGCUUGGGGCGUGGUAAAGGGACAGUUUGGAGCCACACAUCUAGCCCAUAAGGCUGAGGGUGUCCCGAGAGGCAUCCAUUUUGGAGCAGGACCCAAAAGGGUUCAGCGGGGUCCAUCAGGACUGUGCCCAAAAUACAAACUUGAGGGCAGCCUCCCUAUUUAUUACAGUUACAACAAGACAUGGCAGGAAAGAAAGAGGGUGCCCGUUGGGCAGAAUUGGCAUGGACAAGGAGCUCUAGGGGUAUCAUGGCCAUCCCUGGAGACCCCAUCCCAUGACACUGUGUAAUACAUUUUCCCCCAGUUUGCAGAAAAAUGGAAUCAAAGGAAAGUAGGGCUGAAAGGGACUUAACAAGUUUCCUAGUUCAGCUUCAUGCUUAAGGCAGGGGCAUCCCCAAAUAAACCAUCCCCAGCAAGAAUCUGUCUAACCUGCUCUUGAAUACUUGCAAGGAUGGAAAUUCCACUGUCUCGAGGUGCCUGUUACAAUGCUUGACCACUGUCAUCGUCAGAAAGUUCCUCCCAAUAUCCAACCUAAUUACCUCUGCUGCAGGUUGAGGCCGUUGCUCCUUGUUUCAUCCCUGCCACAGAGAAAAGGCCAUCUCCAUCCUCUCUAUAGUCACCCUUCAGGUAGUUGAAGACCAUUAUCAAGUCUCCCCACUCAGUCUUCUCUUCUCCAGACUAAAUAACCCUAGCUUUUUCAGCCUCUACUGACAACCCUCAACUUCCUACUUCAAAGGAUCAUACACAGGAGAUUCAGGGACAGCUCCUCUGCUGUUAGGUCACCUGACAGUACCUUGAAUGCAAGGCCUCAGGAGUUCCUCCUGCCACUCCUCAACUGAUCCUUUAAGGAUGAUGGAAUAUUUACACCAGCAUAAUAGUAGUGGACAAAUGAUGCAAACUCGUAAACUGUGGUAACUUCACCCAAUGUGGAGAACUGCCCUAGAAAGAUGUCACUAGAGUUUCACCCCUGAUUAAGUCUAGGUUCCAUCUGUCCACCUUCAACAUGGGGCGACAGUCUGCUAAAGGCAAAGAGGCAUCCUCUCACUGUCUAGUAACUGUUCACAGCCAUGGGACAGCUGCACAUCUGCCCUGUCCUAUUCCUGGUGCAGUUUAUACUAGUGUACCAAACUGGUGCCAUUUAGGCUGAGGCAUGUGUUCAUCUCUCCCUGGCCUAUGCCUGUAAUGUGGGCCUUAAAGGGUUAUCACUGGUGCAUACCAAUGCAAGUGGCAAGGCACCUCUUCCUGCUCCCAGAUGAGUUGAAGAGACAUCCACUAUUCCCUGUCCAAUGUACCAACCCAGGAAGUCAUGUCAGUAGCGUUAAGUAUAGACAGACAAGAUUCUUUGGGUAAGUCCAAUAUUUUUUAUUAGACCAAUUAAAAUAGUUGGAAAAAUCCUUCUUUACAAGCUUUCAGGUAAAACACCCUUCAUCAGACUGAUGAAGCAUCUGCAGUUAGUCUAUCCUUUUCCUGGAUGAAAUAGUAAAGAAAGCCAGUCAGUGAAAAUGUAAACUGAAUCAGUCAAUGGGGGAGAGACAGGUGGGGUUGGGGAAAGGGAAUGUAGACCUGGUGAUAAGAUAUAGCUGGUAAAUAGUAGAGAGGUUACCUGGGGUAUCAGAUAUUGGGCAGGUUGUAAUGUGCCAUAAAGCCAAUGUCUAUAUUUAGUCCAUGAUUUUUUGUAUCCAGUAGCUUGAUGAAGUGAAGUUCGUAGGCUUGUCUGUGAAAGGUGUCUUGUAAAUUCCCUUUGAGGAUUAGAACUGAGAGAUCGGAAGGAGAGUGAUUGUCUUGUAAGAAAUGCAUCCCCACAGGUGGUUGGGUAUUCUUGUCUUUGAUUGAUUCCCUAUGUACGUCAUUCUGGUACACCGGUGGUGUUUGGGCUCUCCUACAUAUUUCCCAUCAGGGCAUUUGGUGCUCUGUGUGCCCAGUGUGGGAGAGCUGGGCAUGUAGAGUCCCCCUACCUGGGGUGGAUCAUCCUCCUGCUUGCCUGCCACAUCUUUUUGGUGUAAAGAAGUUAGGAGGUUUCAUUGGGGAAAAUGGGAUGUUACUCCACCCUCGGGUUGGCUCGAUGAGAAAACGAGUGACUUAGAGCUCCACCUCCCCUACACCCUGUCCAAUGGACAACCAAAAUAAAGUCACGGCAGCAACUGGGACUCAGUGCUACACGCUUGCCUCAGUCUGCUGCACCCUCCUGGGCUUGGCUUAAUUCUCUCCUUGUUCAGUUUCAAAGUCCAGGGUAACAGGCGUAUGGUCUCCCGCUUCAGCCAUCCCCUCUAAAAGGCGGAAAACUCUGUGGCCACCACCUCUCCCUGCUGGGCCACUGAGGUCAUGACAGGGUGCACUCCCCUGGCUGACCCUUCUUCUGUGGUAAUGAAACAUCAACACCCAAGGAGAACUUAAACUUUCAAAAGACCCCAGCAUCUGGCAUGUUGCCGCCUAGGGAACGGGACUCGCAUGUCCAAAGCUCCGUCUGGUGGACUCAGUCGCGCGAUGGGUCCCACCAGUCGCACUCAGCAAUCACACUGCCAGUCUUUAGUGGUGAGAGGCUCCUGGCUCUCCCCUGUGCCAGCACGGGUAUGCUCCCUCGGUGCACUCUCUGGGUUCUGCCGGGUCUGCAAGGGGGCUCCUUGCAGCCCGAGCUGCUUUUGGUCCCGCGCCACAUCCUGGGGCUUGUCAAUGGCAAGGAUGCUCUUUUAUGAUGUUAUCAGCUGUGUGCUGUCCCACACGCAGGGAGAGCAUGCACUUAAAAUGCUCUGCUGGCUUGGGUCACUGAAGGGAAAGAUAAGUAACCUUUCAGCCCGCUCUGGGCUCUGUUCCCCCACCAGUCGGGGUGUGUUGGGGGGGAUUCCCCCUGCUCCCGGGGUACUUGGGAGUCUCAUCACUCAGCACAGUGACACAUCCCCCACUUUAGGUUUUGGAGACCUGUCGCUCUCCGGUGGCCUCAGUCAUUACCUGAAUCCACGUUCUGCCGUACUCUGUGGAUCCCACUGUUAGCCACGGCAUUGUCUUGACCUGGUCUAUGUAUCACCACAAACUUGGGUAGCUGAAGGGAAGGUGAGGAACCCUUCAGCCCACUCCGGGGUUUGCUCCCCCAUCAGUCAGGGUGUGUCGGGGUGGGGGGAGUUCCCCCUGCUCCCGGGGUACCUGGGAGUCUCAUUGCCCAGGACGGUGCCCCACUGGAUGAGAUAGUUUACAUUUCUGGAGGUGCAGGUGUAAGAUCGGGGAACGGUGAUGGUUCUGCUGUGAGGUGGAGUUAUUGUGGGACUGGUGGAGAUGUGUUGGCAGGUUUUGCAUUUCUUGUCCCAGCACGGUCCCGAUCCAUAUAGCAUCCCAUGCAGACUUGCUAACACUGCUGUGACCUCCGCAAGGAAGCGGGAGAAAGGGAGUGGCUGCUGGGGAGCCCUGCGCUGAAUUCUUGUCCCAUUCUUCUUUUGUUCAUUUUCUAGCUUUUAUCGCUAUAUAAAUGAAACGAAGUGUAUGACUGUAUGUAUGUUUGCUUAUAACUCAAGAAUGGCGGGUCCUAUCUACUCUAAACCUUCCCAAAUCACUGAACACCACCCGAGGGAAAACUAUAGGUGGGAUAGUUAUCACUUGACCCUUUCUGGGGCUUCCAGGGACUGGGAUUUCUUUGCUUCAAAGAUAACAAACUGGGACCUCUCCAUUUUAGCUGCAGUGAAUUCAGUUCAAUUGUCAUUAUUAUAGAGAUGCUUGUCUUUUUUUUCCAACUCAGUUGUCAUUAUUGUAUUGAAGCUUGCCCUUUUUUUGCUCCACCUUAAAUAUUACAUGUUAAAUAUGUUGUCCUAAGUUCUUUGAAAAGAAACAAGCACUGCAAUUACAGAAACAACACCCUGGGCGAAGAAUGGGUACUUCAGCUAGUUUACUAAUAAAGUGCAUUUCCUUCA